CACAUCCAAGGAAGGCAGCAGGCGCGCAAAUUACCCAAUCCUAACUCAGGGAGGUAGUGACAAGAAAUAACAAUAACUGACCUUUAAUAGGUAAGUUAAUUGGAAUGAGUACAAUCUAAACACCUUAACGACUAUCCAUUGGAGGGCAAGUCUGGUGCCAGCAGCCGCGGUAAUUUCAGCUCCAAUAGCGUAUACUAAUGUUGUUGCAGUUAAAAAGCUCGUAGUCGGAUUUCAGAUUCAAGACUUGAAUUAUUAAAUUCUCUGUCUUUUAUCUUCAUUGGUACGAACCUGCAUCUGAUUUAUUUCCGGUGCUGUCUAGUGCCUCUUUUACUUUGAGAAAAUUAGAGUGUUCAAAGCAGGUCAUCGCCUGAAUAUUACUCUUGGAAUAAUGAUAUAGGACUUUGGUUCUAAUUUGUUGGUGUAUUAGGACCGGAGUAAUGAUUGAUAAGGACGGUUGGGGUCAUUCAUACUGCAAAGCGAGAGGUGAAAUUCUUGGACCUUUGUAUGAUGAACAACUGCGAAAGCAUUUGACUAGGACGUUCCUGUUGAUCAAGAACGAAAGUUGGGGGAUCGAAGACGAUCAGAUACCGUCGUAGUCUCAACCAUAAACUAUGCCAGCUAGGGAUUGGAAGAUGUUUAUUUACGACUCUUUCAGCACCUUAUGAGAAAUCAAAGCAUUUGGGUUCCGGGGGGAGUAUGGUCGCAAGGCUGAAACUUAAAGGAAUUGACGGGAGGGCACCACCAGGAGUGGAGCCUGUGGCUUAAUUUGACUCAACACGGGAAAACUUACCAGGUCCGGACAUAGUAAGGAUUGACAGAUUGAAAGUUCUUUCUUGAUUCUAUGGGGGGGUGGUGCUUGGCCGUUCUUAGUUGGUGGAGUGAUUUGUCUUGGUUAAUUCCGUUACCGAACGAUAUCUUCUCCUUGCUAAAAAUUUCUUGUUUUUUUUUGAAUCUUUGAAUUUCUUAGAAGGACUACUUCGCAAACAAGCAAAAAGAAAUCUUGAAAUAAUAAACAGUCUUUUAUGCCCUUUACAUGUUCUGGGCCUCCCCUGGCCUCACCUGUUGAAUUCUAAAAUCUUUGUUCUUCAUUUUGAAAAAUG
rnacentral:rRNA from 1 species